rnacentral:tRNA from 1 species
GGCAACGUAGCUCAGAGGUAGAGCGGGCGCUUCAUAAGCGCCAUGUCGCAGGUUCGAGUCCUGCCGUUGCCACCA